rnacentral:rRNA from 1 species
AAGGAGACUUCUUUAGUACCGCAGCUAACGCGUGAAGUUCGCCGCCUGGGGAGUACGGUCGCAAGAUUAAAACUCAAAGGAAUUGACGGGGACCCGCACAAGCGGUGGAUGAUGUGGAUUAAUUCGAUGCAACGCGAAAAACCUUACCUACCCUUGACAUGCCUGGAAUCCUGAAGAGAUUUGGGAGUGCCCGAAAGGGAACCGGGACACAGGUGCUGCAUGGCUGUCGUCAGCUCGUGUCGUGAGAUGUUGGGUUAAGUCCCGCAACGAGCGCAACCCUUGUCGCUAAUUGCCAUCAUUUAGUUGGGCACUUUAGCGAGAUUGCCGGUGACAAACCGGAGGAAGGUGGGGAUGACGUCAAGUCCUCAUGGCCCUUAUGGGUAGGGCUUCACACGUCAUACAAUGGUCGGUACAGAGGGUCGCCAACCCGCGAGGGGGAGCCAAUCCCAGAAAGCCGAUCGUAGUCCGGAUUGGAGUCUGCAACUCGACUCCAUGAAGUCGGAAUCGCUAGUAAUCGUGGAUCAGCAUGCCACGGUGAAUACGUUCCCGGGUCUUGUACACACCGCCCGUCACACCAUGGGAGUGGGUUUCACCAGAAGUAGUUAGCCUAACCGCAAGGGGGGCGAUUACCACGC